rnacentral:rRNA from 1 species
GGACCCGCACAAGUAGUGGAGCAUGUGGUUUAAUUCGAAGAUACGCGCAGAACCUUACCAACACUUGACAUGUUCGUCGCGACUCUAAGAGAUUAGAGUUUUCGGUUCGGCCGGACGAAACACAGGUGCUGCAUGGCUGUCGUCAGCUCGUGUCGUGAGAUGUUGGGUUAAGUCCCGCAACGAGCGCAACCCUCACUUUUAGUUGCCAUCAUUUAGUUGGGCACUCUGAAAGAACUGCCAGUGAUAAGCUGGAGGAAGGUGGGGAUGACGUCAAGUCCUCAUGGCCCUUACGUGUUGGGCUACACACGUGCUACAAUGGUAUCUACAACAGGAAGCAAGACUGCGAGGUCAAGCAAAUCCUUAAAAGAUACCUCAGUUCGGAUUGCACUCUGCAACUCGAGUGCAUGAAGCUGGAAUUACUAGUAAUCG